rnacentral:lncRNA from 1 species
ACCCGACCCGAAGUUAAAUGGGUAGGGUAUAUAUAUUUUUUUGUAACCAUUUCUUUUUAGGGUAUGGGUACAGUAUAUUAAUUACCCAGACCCGACCCGGUCCACGGACAUCUUUAUAUGACACCUCAAUGGUCCACAGCUAGCGAAUAGGAAUAAAAUUAUGAUUUGAUAUAUAAGAGAUUAUAAAUUCUAAUAUUAAUAAUUUGACUUAAGCAUUUUGGGCCGUUAAUUUUGGCCCGACAAGUUAUUAUUAUCAGCGGAUCGAAUCGUUAUAUUUGAUAUCGGAGCUGGUUCCUCAAUCGAAAGUGUGAAACGGGUCUCAUAUUUUCUUAUGAUCUUAGGCUGUAUAUAUGAUUAGACUAAUAAGAAAGUCUGUGACAUUCCAAUAGUUCUAUAUCAAAAAAAUCACGAAGCUUAAUAAAUAUAACUGAACUUAAAUAUUUUGAACCGACGGUUUAAAUCUAAUAAAUUAUUAUUACCAGCGAAUAAGGUAGUUAUAAUACAACUCAUAAAAGAAGUAUUAGUUGGUUAUUAUUAGUAAAAAAAGAGAAAAAGU